rnacentral:tRNA from 1 species
AAUAUUAAAGUAUCAUAUUACAUUUAAUUUCCAAUUAAAAGUAGAGGAUAAUAUUG